CGACGAGGAUCGGACUCGAACCCAGGCGGGCAGAGCCCUAUGGAUUAGCAGUUCAUCGCCUUAACCACUCGGCCACCUCGUC
rnacentral:tRNA from 13 species